rnacentral:rRNA from 1 species
UACGUAGGUCCCGAGCGUUGUCCGGAUUUAUUGGGCGUAAAGCGAGCGCAGGCGGUUCUUUAAGUCUGAAGUUAAAGGCAGUGGCUUAACCAUUGUACGCUUUGGAAACUGGAGGACUUGAGUGCAGAAGGGGAGAGUGGAAUUCCAUGUGUAGCGGUGAAAUGCGUAGAUAUAUGGAGGAACACCGGUGGCGAAAGCGGCUCUCUGGUCUGUAACUGACGCUGAGGCUCGAAAGCGUGGGUAGCAAACAGG